UACGUAGGGUGCAAGCGUUGUCCGGAAUUAUUGGGCGUAAAGGGCGUGUAGGCGGUUUUUUAAGUCCGAUGUGAAAGCCCCGGGCUCAACCUGGGAAGUGCAUUGGAAACUGGAAGACUUGAGUACGGGAGAGGGCAGUGGAAUUCCUGGUGUAGGAGUGAAAUCCGUAGAUAUCAGGAGGAACACCGGUGGCGAAGGCGGCUGCCUGGACCGAUACUGACGCUGAGACGCGAAAGCGUGGGGAGCAAACAGG
rnacentral:rRNA from 1 species